rnacentral:rRNA from 1 species
GUUUCCCUACGGGGCGCAGCAGUAGGGAAUUUUCGUCAAUGGGCGCAAGCCUGAACGAGCAAUGCCGCGUGAACGAGGAAGGUCUUCGGAUCGUAAAGCUCUGUUGAAGGGGAAAAAGAGCGGAGAGAGGAAAUGAACUCCGAUUGAUAUUACCCUUCGAGGAAGUCACGGCUAACUACGUGCCAGCAGCCGCGGUAAUACGUAGGUGGCGAGCGUUAUCCGGAAUGAUUGGGCGUAAAGGGUGCGUAGGCGGCCUGCUAAGUCUGGAGUGAAAGGUACCGGCUCAACCGUUACAGGCUCUGGAA